UACGUAGGUGACAAGCGUUGUCCGGAUUUACUGGGCGUAAAGAGCGCGCAGGCGGUCGGUCAAGUCGAGUGUGAAAGCCCCCGGCUCAACUGGGGAGGGUCAUUCGAUACUGAUCGACUCGAAGGCAGGAGAGGGUAGUGGAAUUCCCGGUGUAGUGGUGAAAUGCGUAGAUAUCGGGAGGAACACCAGUGGCGAAGGCGACUACCUGGCCUGUUCUUGACGCUGAGGCGCGAAAGCUA
rnacentral:rRNA from 1 species